AGCUGAGCAGCACGCCGCGUGAGUGAUGAAGGCCUUCGGGUCGUAAAGCCCUUUCAGGUGGGACGAAUGGCCCGGGGGUUAAUACCCUUUGGCAGUGACGGUACCACCAAAGGAAGCACCGGCUAACUCCGUGCCAGCAGCCGCGGUAUAA
rnacentral:rRNA from 1 species